CAAUAGCGUAUAUUAAAGUUGUUGCAGUUAAAAAGCUCGUAGUUGAAUUUCUGGUGGGCGCGCCGGUCUUCCAAGUGUUGUACUGGGCGCAGUCCGCCAUCCUUGUGGAGAGGGCUCGCAUUGAGUUGUGUGUCGGAUCUGCAUCAUUUACUGUGAAAAAAUUAGAGUGUUUAAAGCAGGCUGUCGCUUGAAUACAUUAGCAUGGAAUAAUAAGAUAGGACUUCGGUCUAUUUUGUUGGUUGCGAACCGAGGUAAUGAUUAAUAGGGAUAGUUGGGGGUAUUCAUAUUUAAUUGUCAGAGGUGAAAUUCUUGGAUUUAUGAAAGAUGAACAACUGCGAAAGCAUUUACCAAGGAUGUUUUCAUUAA
rnacentral:rRNA from 1 species